GGCCAAGUGUGAGUCUGAUGUC
rnacentral:siRNA from 1 species